rnacentral:tRNA from 1 species
AGUAAGGUCAGCUAAACAAGCUAUCGGGCCCNUACCCNNAAAAUGUUGGUUCAUACCCCUUCCCAUACUA